UUAAUACUCCCUCCGUCCAACAAUGAAUGUCUCAACUUUGACUAAAUUUGAAUGCAUCUAUACACCAAGACAUAUCUAUAUACAUCCAAAUUUUGACAAACUUGAGACAUUUUUUGUUGGACGGAGGGAGUAUCUA
rfam:Brachypodium distachyon strain Bd21 chromosome 4, whole genome shotgun sequence.